rnacentral:rRNA from 1 species
GAUAAACGCUGGCGGCGUGCCUAAUACAUGCAAGUCGAGCGAACGGACGAGAAGCUUGCUUCUCUGAUGUUAGCGGCGGACGGGUGAGUAACACGUGGAUAACCUACCUAUAAGACUGGGAUAACUUCGGGAAACCGGAGCUAAUACCGGAUAAUAUUUUGAACCGCAUGGUUCAAAAGUGAAAGACGGUCUUGCUGUCACUUAUAGAUGGAUCCGCGCUGCAUUAGCUAGUUGGUAAGAUAACGGCUUACCAAGGCAACGAUGCAUAGCCGACCUGAGAGGGUGAUCGGCCACACUGGAACUGAGACACGGUCCAGACUCCUACGGGAGGCAGCAGUAGGGAAUCUUCCGCAAUGGGCGAAAGCCUGACGGAGCAACGCCGCGUGAGUGAUGAAGGUCUUCGGAUCGUAAAACUCUGUUAUUAGGGAAGAACAUAUGUGUAAGUAACUGUGCACAUCUUGACGGUACCUAAUCAGAAAGCCACGGCUAACUACGUGCCAGCAGCCGCGGUAAUACGUAGGUGGCAAGCGUUAUCCGGAAUUAUCGGGCGUAAAGCGCGCGUAGGCGGUUUUUUAAGUCUGAUGUGAAAGCCCACGGCUCAACCGUGGAGGGUCAUUGGAAACUGGAAAACUUGAGUGCAGAAGAGGAAAGUGGAAUUCCAUGUGUAGCGGUGAAAUGCGCAGAGAUAUGGAGGAACACCAGUGGCGAAGGCGACUUUCUGGUCUGUAACUGACGCUGAUGUGCGAAAGCGUGGGGAUCAAACAGGAUUAGAUACCCUGGUAGUCCACGCCGUAAACGAUGAGUGCUAAGUGUUAGGGGGUUUCCGCCCCUUAGUGCUGCAGCUAACGCAUUAAGCACUCCGCCUGGGGAGUACGACCGCAAGGUUGAAACUCAAAGGAAUUGACGGGGACCCGCACAAGCGGUGGAGCAUGUGGUUUAAUUCGAAGCAACGCGAAGAACCUUACCAAAUCUUGACAUCCUUUGACAACUCUAGAGAUAGAGCCUUCCCCUUCGGGGGACAAAGUGACAGGUGGUGCAUGGUUGUCGUCAGCUCGUGUCGUGAGAUGUUGGGUUAAGUCCCGCAACGAGCGCAACCCUUAAGCUUAGUUGCCAUCAUUAAGUUGGGCACUCUAAGUUGACUGCCGGUGACAAACCGGAGGAAGGUGGGGAUGACGUCAAAUCAUCAUGCCCCUUAUGAUUUGGGCUACACACGUGCUACAAUGGACAAUACAAAGGGCAGCGAAACCGCGAGGUCAAGCAAAUCCCAUAAAGUUGUUCUCAGUUCGGAUUGUAGUCUGCAACUCGACUACAUGAAGCUGGAAUCGCUAGUAAUCGUAGAUUAGCAUGCUACGGUGAAUACGUUCCCGGGUCU